GCCUUGGCCUCCCCGAAGUGCUGGGAUUACAGGUGUGAGCCACCACAGCUGGACUUCAUUAAGGAUCUUGAGAGGAAAUCAUUCCAGAUUUAGGGUGGCCCUAAAUCCGAUGACUGGUGUCCUUAAGAGAGGACAAAGAGGGGCACGUGAAGAUGGAGGCAGAGACUGGAAUGAUGUUGCCACAUGCCAAGGAAUGUUGGGCCACCAGAAGCUGCAAGAGGCAAAGAAGAAUUCUUCCCUUACACUUUUGGAGAGAGCAUCGCCCUGUCAACUCCUUAACUUCAGACUUCUAGUCUUCGCAACUAUGAGAGAAUAAGUGCAUUUAAGCCAUGUUGUUACGGCAGCCCUAGCAGCCCUGGAAAAUGAAUACACUGAGUGCUCGGAUCCAGACCAGCAUAUGGAGCUGGUGAUCUUAUCUUGGGUUUCGUGAUGACUGUUUUCCACGUCUCCACCUUCUUCCCCAUGGCUGCACUGCACAUUUACUGUGGAUCUACACUAAGAUCUCCUCCAAAGGACAGGUAAAUGCGUGAUCACCUGAUCCCUCACCAAAGAGUAUGAGACAGAAAGAAUGGCAAGUGUUCUCUGGGAGCUGCCAAUGACCUGGUCCUCAGCAAAGGGAACAACCUGAAAUUCUCUCCUGUGGAAGACGUGUUGAAAGCCCAACUGAGAGACAGUGUUGGCUGAGGAGCCUAGUGAACUGGGGUCCACCUCUCCUGCUGGAGGCUCUGAAGUCGACCCUGGAGCAGCAGAGCCCCCUGAGGGUCCCACCUGCACAGCAUUGCUUUGGUUCACAGCCGCACUGACCUAACACCGCCAGCCUGAGGAAAGGAGGAUGGUCAGAGCGCCCUGCAGGGCUCACUGUGCUCCCUGGAAGGAAGCUUUGGAGCCUGGUGUUUACUAACCUGCACAGUGUGUGUCCCUGCGAAGAGGUCCCACGACAAAGUGUUCUCUCUCAUCAGAGCAGGGGAAAAGGCUGAGUUUCUAUCUCACAGAUACUGACUCACGUAGCUGAAACAAUUGCCCUCUCCAAGUCAGCUGCCAGAACGCUCAGAGAGAAAUCUGUGGGCCACCUCUUACAAAUGUAUAGGCGAUUCCACAGUUUGUGUACUAGCCUCCCCGUUACUUCUUUUGUAAAUAUUCAAUCUUAUUGUGUUGCAUAUAUUUAGGUAAAUGCUCUAAUUCCUUUUGGGACCAAGACAGGUUCAUACACAGGCACUAAAAAGGUGAGAAAACAAACAAACAAAAAAUCCUCACGUCAUCACAGAUUGGCUACUUUAAUGAUUCUGCCUUUAGUUUCCCUCCUAUCCCCAAAAAUUCUGUAUCAUAUCAUACUUGGAAUAUGAGUUUUCACAUUUACCAAAAUAAUAGGGUAUCUUAAUUUUUUUUUUUC
rnacentral:lncRNA from 1 species